rnacentral:rRNA from 1 species
UGGGGAAUUUUGGACAAUGGGGGAAACCCUGAUCCAGCCAUCCCGCGUGUGCGAUGAAGGCCUUCGGGUUGUAAAGCACUUUUGGCAGGAAAGAAACGACAUGGGUUAAUACCCCGUGAAACUGACGGUACCUGCAGAAUAAGCACCGGCUAACUACGUGCCAGCAGCCGCGGUAAUACGUAGGGUGCAAGCGUUAAUCGGAAUUACUGGGCGUAAAGCGUGCGCAGGCCGUUCGGAAAGAAAGAUGUGAAAUCCCAGAGCUCAACUUUGGAACUGCAUUUUUAACUCCCGGGCUAGAGUGUGUCAGAGGGAGGUGGCAUUCCGCGUGUAGCAGUGAUAUGCGUAGAUGUGCGGAGGAACACCGAUGGCGAAGGCAGCCUCCUGUGAUAACACUGACGCUCAUGCACGAAAGCGUGGUGAGCAAACAGG